rnacentral:lncRNA from 1 species
AAUUUAUACAAAGACAGUGUAGACAGAGAAGGUUAGUGCUGAAACUCAGUGCUUAUGUUUGGCUUUCUUUAAGGAACUGUUCGAGACAGAUUAGUUUAAAAGAGGAUGGACAAUUUUAUGGGCCGCAUUGAAGAAGUUUGAGGGGGCAGAGAAAUGGAAAUAUUACGUGAGAUUCAUGGCAAGGAAAAUACUUAUGGUCAAGAUUGUUUUUCACCUGAAAAAAGAAGAGCACUUAAGAAAACACAAAGUACAGUAAUGGAAGUACUUUAUCACUUAAGAACAUAGAGCAAGGAGAGUUAUCCAUGUUACUUGUGUUGGAUAAUAAGAGAGAGCGUAUCAUUCUCUUUGGCUACUAUAUGGGUUCUUCUUAAUUCCACCCUGCGUCAACAUUUUCUUCCAUGAUUUCAACUACUAAUAGGGGAGAAAAAAAAGAAUAGAGGGGAAAGGAAAUUGUUCCCUGAAUAGCUUCAAGGGUCAGAAAGUGUUCAAUAUUACAGGUACUUCCUGCUAAUUGGGUAAAUUGAGUUCCUUGGGG